GGAUAAGUGCAGGUACGCGAGAUGAGAAUGGAUAAUCCCGUGCAAAGUUUGAACAUAUCCAGAUCUGUUAAAACAGCAUCUUGAUAAACCCGGUGAAAAGAGAUCUUGAUAUGGAAUGGAGUAAUACCAAACCAAGCUUUCCCAGAGCUUUUUUUUCUUUGCCACGAACCCCAAUAGCACAUACAAAACAGUAAUAGGGAAGCCACAGUUCAUACAAAAUUUCAAUUUGCCUUUGUCCACACAAGC
rnacentral:lncRNA from 1 species